CGGAGAGUUUGAUCCUGGCUCAGGAUGAACGCUGGCGGCGUGCCUAAUACAUGCAAGUCGAACGCUUUGUGGUUCAACUGAUUUGAAGAGCUUGCUCAGAUAUGACGAUGGACAUUGCAAAGAGUGGCGAACGGGUGAGUAACACGUGGGAAACCUACCUCUUAGCAGGGGAUAACAUUUGGAAACAGAUGCUAAUACCGUAUAACAAUAGCAACCGCAUGGUUGCUACUUAAAAGAUGGUUCUGCUAUCACUAAGAGAUGGUCCCGCGGUGCAUUAGUUAGUUGGUGAGGUAAUGGCUCACCAAGACGAUGAUGCAUAGCCGAGUUGAGAGACUGAUCGGCCACAAUGGGACUGAGACACGGCCCAUACUCCUACGGGAGGCAGCAGUAGGGAAUCUUCCACAAUGGGCGAAAGCCUGAUGGAGCAACGCCGCGUGUGUGAUGAAGGGUUUCGGCUCGUAAAACACUGUUGUAAGAGAAGAAUGACAUUGAGAGUAACUGUUCAAUGUGUGACGGUAUCUUACCAGAAAGGAACGGCUAAAUACGUGCCAGCAGCCGCGGUAAUACGUAUGUUCCAAGCGUUAUCCGGAUUUAUUGGGCGUAAAGCGAGCGCAGACGGUUAUUUAAGUCUGAAGUGAAAGCCCUCAGCUCAACUGAGGAAUUGCUUUGGAAACUGGAUGACUUGAGUGCAGUAGAGGAAAGUGGAACUCCAUGUGUAGCGGUGAAAUGCGUAGAUAUAUGGAAGAACACCAGUGGCGAAGGCGGCUUUCUGGACUGUAACUGACGUUGAGGCUCGAAAGUGUGGGUAGCAAACAGGAUUAGAUACCCUGGUAGUCCACACCGUAAACGAUGAGUG
rnacentral:rRNA from 1 species